GUGCCAGCCGCCGCGGUAAUACGUAGGGCGCAAGCGUUGUCCGGAAUUAUUGGGCGUAAAGAGCUCGUAGGCGGUUUGUCGCGUCUGCUGUGAAAACGCAAGGCUUAACAUUGCGCCUGCAGUGGGUACGGGCAGACUAGAGUGCGGUAGGGGAGACUGGAAUUCCUGGUGUAGCGGUGGAAUGCGCAGAUAUCAGGAGGACACCGAUGGCGAAGGCAGGUCUCUGGGCCGUUACUGACGCUGAGGAGCGAAAGCAUGGGGAGCGAACA
rnacentral:rRNA from 1 species